rnacentral:rRNA from 1 species
AACGAACGCUGGCGGCAGGCUUAACACAUGCAAGUCGAACGCCCCGCAAGGGGAGUGGCAGACGGGUGAGUAACGCGUGGGAACAUACCCUUUCCUGCGGAAUAGCUCCGGGAAACUGGAAUUAAUACCGCAUACGCCCUACGGGGGAAAGAUUUAUCGGGGAAGGAUUGGCCCGCGUUGGAUUAGCUAGUUGGUGGGGUAAAGGCCUACCAAGGCGACGAUCCAUAGCUGGUCUGAGAGGAUGAUCAGCCACAUUGGGACUGAGACACGGCCCAAACUCCUACGGGAGGCAGCAGUGGGGAAUAUUGGACAAUGGGCGCAAGCCUGAUCCAGCCAUGCCGCGUGAGUGAUGAAGGCCUUAGGGUUGUAAAGCUCUUUCACCGGAGAAGAUAAUGACGGUAUCCGGAGAAGAAGCCCCGGCUAACUUCGUGCCAGCAGCCGCGGUAAUACGAAGGGGGCUAGCGUUGUUCGGAAUUACUGGGCGUAAAGCGCACGUAGGCGGAUAUUUAAGUCAGGGGUGAAAUCCCAGAGCUCAACUCUGGAACUGCCUUUGAUACUGGGUAUCUUGAGUAUGGAAGAGGUAAGUGGAAUUCCGAGUGUAGAGGUGAAAUUCGUAGAUAUUCGGAGGAACACCAGUGGCGAAGGCGGCUUACUGGUCCAUUACUGACGCUGAGGUGCGAAAGCGUGGG